rnacentral:lncRNA from 1 species
AUGACCCUCAAUUGAUGAGAAUAAAUUGAAAAUUGUGUGAAUGAACUUAAUGUGACUUGAUUUAGCAAUUGGUGUUGAUUUGCCCAAAUCAUUGAGAGAAAGAAAAUUCAGCAAAGGCAAAGACCUCAAAAGCACAAAUCUAAGAUUGUUCCAAUGGUCAAAAUACUAUGAACAGAGCUAGUAGCCACUUGGAAAGGUGACCAACUGAGUAACUGGGAGUGGGUAUCACAAAUAUGUACCUUCACGUAAAAAGGUUGGUGACUUUUUCAAGCAAGAUCUAAAGUGCAAAAGUCUGAAUAAAGUACUUCAAGGUAAGGGCAAGUCACUCUGAAAGCUAGAAAAAGUCUUUAACAAAAAUGUGCAUGUAUGGUCUCUCUUGAGGAAAACAAAUCCUAGCCAUGGUGAGUAAAGG